rnacentral:lncRNA from 1 species
GCGGAGUUUGUGGUGCCCGUAGUCACACCACACACACAUUUAUGGGAUGUCAGACACACGGCCAGGGCCGCACACCCUGGAAGCAGCAGUCUUUGUGCCCACCUCCAUCCCAAUGGUCCUUGCUGCUCAGAGCAUAAAUGUCUGCCCGGCCCAGCAUCCCAGAGUCGAACACCCUGACGAGCAAGUCUAUGCCAGGGCUACACACAGGAAGCCCAGGGCCUCCCGGAUCCCAGGGAGCGCACGUGUAUCUGUGUGAGAGAGACAGCCAGCCAGCCUCCAGGAGCACACGGCCUGGCACCUGUGUGUUACGUCUGUGCGUGGCUGCAUUUGUAUCUGGGGGUGCCUGGCACACCCCACGUGGGUGGCUUCUCUGCAUCAAGACGGGGCUAUGAGCCUGGAGUGGUGUCUGAGUGUCUGAGGAGGUGUGGGUUCGUGGCCAGGUAUGUGUGUCCAUUUGUGUUCGCCUUGUGAUGUGUGUCUGUUGUGUCCAGGUCUCCUUGUGCGGGAGGCAGCACCAGGGUGAGCCCCCCACCCACCGUUCGUCCCAGUGAGGCCACGGGCCUGAGCAUCAGAGUGGGGAGCGCAGCCCCGUGGUGCGAUUGCGUCACUCAGCGGGGGCGGCGGCGUGGGCCAGGCCUAUCAUCUGGGCACAUACUCCCUGGGCAGCCCCGUCCAGUUGUGGUCACGCAGGGCUUGGUCCACCGUCCGGAUGUAGCCAUUGAUCAAGUCUUUCAUCUCCGGGGUGAAGGGCUCAGGGUCGUGGGAGCGCCGGCCGCGCCGCCGGAAGCUGCCCUCCUUGUUGUUCUCCACGCAGAGCAGCCGCUCCUCGCUCACAGACACGUUGAGGAAGGCCACCAUCUCCCGUAACGUGGGCACCAGGCUGCGCCGCAGCUCCUCGUAGUGCACCACCAGCAGCCGCUUCCCGUACUUGAGCCAGUCCAGGACGUGCGAGGACCACCACGAGGCGUAGCUGUUGACAAAGUCCGGCCACUCUAGAGUCCUCCUAUAAAGCUAAGUCAGCGUGAUGCCUGAUGGGCAAAUACGCAU